UUCCCACAUCCAGGAGGGCCAUAGAAAAGAACCCCCUUAGAGGGUGACAUUCCAAACUUCUCAAAUUUCUCAGGAUGCUCCACUGGAUAUUGAACAGUCUCUUGAAGCUCUCGCUUAACAUUCUCAAGACCUCCAAUAUCUUCCCAGCUCACAUUAGGCACUUCAACAACUGUUUCACGCAAAGCAGAUGGGUUGCUUGUUCCAAGUGCAGUUUGGAAGUGUUCAUUA
rnacentral:misc_RNA from 1 species